AGCGGGGCCGGGCGCCCUGCGCCCACCCACAAUGCCGGCCCAGUUUCCAUUACGACUGGGACACCAGCUCCAGCAGCAUGAAUGACCCUAUGGUGGACUCGGGCAAAGCCAGCGACAUCUCGGUGUCGAGCUGGCCCACGGAGCCCAUCCAGUGGGCUCCCUUCCCUCUCCAGCAGCUCUCCAGGCAGCGACCGCACAAGGCCCGACUGGCCGCAGCCGUUCUGGCGAGGGGCUGGGAGCUGGGCACGCUGGGAGCGGAGCUGGACGGCCUGAGCCCACGGAAACAGACGGACACGAGGUUCAGCUUUAAAACCAACCACAUUUUAUUUCCACGUAACGAGCUCAGUGAAGGAAUCCACACACUUGGACGAUACAAUCAACGCGGGUGUGAUGUCAGUGAUGUCAGUCCCAGCGGGGCAGAGCCCCUGCCCCGGCUCCUGUCCGCGCCUCGCGAGCUCUGGCUGGGACUGCGGGCUCCAGAGCGGGCAGAUACAGAGAGGUGUCAGGACACACAGUGCUGGCAUCCACCAGGUCGUGACUUUUGGGGGCAGUUGGGGCAGGAAGGCUGGCGGUUCUGGAGGGCGCAUCGGGCUCUGGACGCAGCGGCUCUGCCCCGCGGCCGCCGCAGGACGAGCUCAGCCACGCCGGAGGGAGGGAGACACACGAAAGCGCUGCUGCGUCGCUCAUCAUGGUUCAUGUCAAUGAGGUAUAAACACCAGGAUGUUGUAAGCAUUAAAGUUUAUUUUCCAAAAUGCUCUCCUUAUUCGCACGUGUCCUCUGGAGCAUCGAGCUGGGCACAAAUGGUGGGGGCUGGAAAUGGGGCGCUGUACGGAGGGCGAGGGCAACGGGGUCCCAAAGGUGCUCGGAUAGAAAAGGAAAAGCAAGCUGCAGUUCUACACUUAGACUCUCAUAGUCUCAGAUGGGGAACGUUGAGGGAGAUUUUUGCUAGAAUAAAAUGCAGAUCUCUUCAUAAAAAAAUCAGUUUGCUAAAAGAAAACUCAACCUAUGGGAAUACAGAGCUAUCAGUUCGGUCGAUAUUCUCAUCGUAUAGAAAACAGCCUACAAAUAAAGUCACAAAAAAUAGACAGUUAUAUGCUGAGCAGCCAAAAACAUCAUGA
rnacentral:lncRNA from 1 species